AGAAAGGAGGAGCUGAAAUUAGAUUGUGUGGGAGGUCAGCCCAGAAGAGGGAGAGGAGCUCCCAGUGGUCUGAGGUUUCCUAAGUGACUCUGCAGGUUCUUCCUAACCCCUACCCCCACAGGUCCCCCAUGCACAUUCCACUGCUGUGAGAGUACCGUGAGCCGGCACAAUAGAAUCCAAGCAAGAUAUACUAGAGGCCGAGGGAGGCCGCUCAACGGGCGUCCCCUCCCCCACUGUACCCGUUGGACACAGACCUUCUCCUGCGUGGAUGAGAAGAUUCUGAACUUACAGACCGAUGCCUGAAUGCUUUUUCUCGCAGUUGCUGUGGGGAGGACGUUUCAGUCAACACACACUGCCUGGGUAUCUGCUGGGGGUGCACUAGAGAGCGAGAGCCCUGCUCUUACGGGUUGCGGCGGAGAGCAUCUGUCUCCAGACUUAAGUAAAUGUGCAUUCAUGAGUGAGAGUGAGUAGCCCUACCCACUUUUAUGUCGAGAUAAAUUAUAUGACGUACUGCUAUAUUAUACAUAUAUGUACACGGAUGCAAUUAUUUACGUAUAUUAUCAAAUAAACAUGAGAUGAAAA